rnacentral:tRNA from 1 species
UUAGUUGAAGCCAAAGGUAGAGGCAUAUCACUGUUAAUGAUAAAAAUGAAAUUGUUUUCCGACUAAG